UAGCUCAGGGAUUGUAAACACACCAAUCAGCACCCUGUCAAAACGGACCAAUCAGCUCUCUGUAAAACAGACCAAUUGGCUCUCUGUAAAAUGGACCAAUCAGCAGGAUGUGGGUGGGGCCAGAUAAGAGAAUAAAAGCAGGCUGCCCGAGCCAGCAGUGGGAACCCGCUUGGGUCCCCUUCCCCAACGUGGAAGGUUUGUUUUUUCGCUCUUUGCAAUAAAUCUUGCUGCUGCUCACUCUUUGGGUCCACACUGCCUUUAUGAGCUGUAACACUCACCACGAAAGUCUGCAGCUUCACUCCUGAAGCCAGGGAGACCACGAACCCACCAGGAAGAACGAACAACUCCAGACGCGCCACCUUAAGAGCUGUACCACUCACCGCGAAGGUCUGCAGCUUCACUCCUGAGCCAGCGAGACCACGAACCCACCAUGAAGAAAGAACAACUCCAGACGCGCUGCCUUAAGAGCUGUACCACUCACCGCGAAGGUCUGCAGCUUCACUCCUGAGCCAGGGAGACCACGCACCCACCAGAAGGAAGAAACUCUGAACACAUCCCAACAUCAGAAGGAACAAACUCCGGACACGCUGCUUUUAAGAACUGUAACACUCACCGCGAGGGUCCGUGGCUUCAUUCUUGAAGACAGUGAGACCAAGAACCCACCAAUUCUGGACACAUUAGUAACUUAACUUGUGCUAUUUACCCACAGAAGGGAAAUCACACAAGAUAGCAGUUAAGAAACUGCUCUUAACUGUGACACCGCUCUGUGACAGCGGUGGGGUAGAAUGACCUUGUCCAAAUAAUUCAUCUCAGGAAACUGGGGUUAUUGUGGCUGGUAAAAUGGGAAUAAUAGUAUCUCACUUAUAGGGUUCUUAGGAAUAUUACAGGUAAUGAAGAACUUAGAAAAGUGAUUGGUCCUUGAAUGUCAUCAACAGAUGCAAGAAAUUAAAGUGUGGGUUUUAAAUAAAAAAGUUGCAUUGUAAUUCUAGUAGUUUCUAGGUAAAUUCUGCUAUGAGAGUAUGUAAUUUAGCAAUAUCUCAUCUGGUAAAAUAUGCUAGGCUGAAGGUUAUAAAAGAGAAGCCAAGGGCUUUAUGAAAAUUUAUAUAGACUAAAUGCAUCUAUUUAGUCUAUAUAAAUUUAGUCCAUAAAAAUAGAUGUUCCUUUUAAAUCCAUCUAUUUUUCUGAACCCCAUAUUGAGGUACAGAGAAACUGCAACAUCCAAACUCAUGACUUCCCAGUGGUGGCAGUGGAAUAUUAUUAUACUAUCAGUUCUAGAAAUUGUAACUUACUUCUAGGAUUGUAAUUUGGAGAGUGAACAGCUGCUAACCUUGUUGAUCAACUGCUGUUGAGGGCUGAAAGUGACCAUGGAGAAGAGGAGAAAUAGCUUUUCUUAAAGGCUCAAAAAAUAUCGUUAACACAUGGAGACUAGCACACUUGUUAUUCCACCAGAUUUCUUCACACCUGCAUGCAUAUAACACAUCAUUUUAAAAAUUCGCUAACAACAUUUGAAAUUGGAUUCAUUUUAACUUGGAAAAAAAUACCAAGAAAACUGCUAGUUACCAGUGGCCAAAAAGGAAGACUCUUCCAUACAAGGAACAAUUUCUGGAGUUCUGUGCAAAGCUAAUUUUGUUCUUCUUCUUCUUUUAUUUAUAUUACAGAUAUUUUACAAGUUCCAUAAGACUCCAUCCCACACAAGACAGUGAAUCUAAGUGUCACAGAAGACUGAAUUUCCUCAGUAUUUCACAGUUACCAAAACACCUGUGCUAAAUAGUUUUCUGUGUAUCAGCUGUGAAAACUCACUGUUCAAUAGCCCUCCAAAUUUCUCAUUUAUUCCUGGUGGGGGGGAGUCCUGGGGGGGCUCACAAUGCGUUAUUGUUAAACUCUAGGAAGGGUAGUGGUUCAAGAGCAUCAUUAAUGGAGUAAAAAGGAAAAAAGUACCAGCAAAUUUCACCUAUACUCCUUAUAGACCUUCGCUUCUACCUCUUCUGAGAUGCUGCCUUAUCUGCAAAUUAAUUAAGCAGAAACUAGAUGGGCACAAAUACCACAACAUUCUGAAGCUUAAUUAGCAAAUGCUUUUUAACUUCACAACAGGUCUUAGCCUUGUUGGUUACUUUGUUUCUUAAAAGAGCAGAAAAGCAAGCUGUAUUAUUCUUUGCUUCCUUUCAGAGAGGAAACAAGCAUGGAAAUUUAAAAAUAGAUCAAGGGAUGCUCAGAGGGCAGCUCCCUAGCAACCAGGCUGCAUUGCUGGUAUGCUAACUUGAGUGGCCUGCAUUCUGCCAGGAAUGUCGGCAAGCCACUCCCACCGAUAGCAAAGACAAGACAUGGAGGGAACUGGUCGGAUACAGCCAUGGAGGGGACACAGACAGGUGACUGCAAGAGCCACAGAUUCUCACCCAGCCCCUUCAGUCCCACCCAUGGGAAGGCCAGUAACUGUGUUCAGCAGUUUUCUCAAUUGCAACCCCCCAGUGAGGCCGUUAGCCCAUCCCCUGGGGCAAUAACACAGGAUGAAGGUAGGGAGAACUCUUGGUCAUCAUCAAAGACCCUUGAAGAGAGAAAUUAUUUCCAAAAUGUUUGCUGUCUGAUAGUUAAAAAUCGUGGCUCUGUCUUUCCCUUAUUAAAUAACACAGGAGAAAAAUGAAAAGAUGGAAUGUUUAUUGAUAGUCUUUGUGCCUGGUGCCAUGGAGCUUGUUUUUGAGGCUCUGAUGAUAAGAAAAGAAAAAAAAUAAUAAUCCUGCGUGUCAUAUAGCUGCAAAGUACAGGCACCCUGGUGUACACUGUGAAAAUAUCAUAGAAAAAAUAUGACAUCAUAUUGUCUGCCUACGAUGAUACAAUUUCUUAUUAAAAUAAAAAGAGGAAAGUGUGGAGACUAACAAUGCAUUUCCUUUUUUCACUCAGACUUCACACAGGGAAAGUUACCUGGAUGUUCAAGAUGUUAAAACAUGGCCUUGUGUCAAAAGUGAAAUAAUUAAAUAUUCAGUAUCAGCCCAUUAACCAGAUGGGCUCUCC
rnacentral:lncRNA from 1 species